rnacentral:tRNA from 1 species
UCCCUGGUGGCUCAGUGGUAAAGAAUCUGCCUGCUAAUGCAGGAGACACAGGUUCAAUUCCUGAUCUAGGAA